rnacentral:rRNA from 1 species
AAAUCUUGACAUCCUCUGACCCCUCUAGAGAUAGAGGUUUCCCCCUUCGGGGGGACAGAGUGACAGGUGGUGCAUGGUUGUCGUCAGCUCGUGUCGUGAGAUGUUGGGUUAAGUCCCGCAACGAGCGCAACCCUUAAGCUUAGUUGCCAUCAUUAAGUUGGGCACUCUAAGUUGACUGCCGGUGACAAACCGGAGGAAGGUGGGGAUGACGUCAAAUCAUCAUGCCCCUUAUGAUUUGGGCUACACACGUGCUACAAUGGACAAUACAAAGGGCAGCGAAACCGCGAGGUCAAGCAAAUCCCAUAAAGUUGUUCUCAGUUUGGAUUGUAGUCUGCAACUCGACUAUAUGAAGCUGGAAUCGCUAGUAAUCGUAGAUCAGCAUGCUACGGUGAAUACGUUCCCGGGUCUUGUACACACCGCCCGUCACACCACGAGAGUUUGUAACACCCGAAGCCGGUGGAGUAACCAUUUGGAGCUAGCCGUCGAAGGUGGGACAAAUGAUUGGGGUGAAGUCGUAACAAGGUAGCCGUAUCGGAAGGUGCGGCUGGAUCACCUCCUUUCUAAGGA